AAAGAUUUAGUUUAAAAUAAAACACAAAAUUGUCAAUUUUGAAACACUAAUUUUUAGUAAUCUUUU
rnacentral:tRNA from 1 species